GCUCCCCACCACUCCGUUCCAUCCCUCGCCUGCCUUCGCACGGGUGCGCCGCCCGCUCGACGGCCACGCCACGCCGCGCCGCGCCGCUCAGCUGCCCCGGCACCCGCCCUUCCUCGCCGAGCUCGGGAUCGACGUCUCCCGCACCUCCUCGCGCCCGUUCCGGGCUCCGCAUCCGGCCCCUCCCCGUCCCCAACCCCAUUCCGCAGCUGGCGACCAGCACAACAUCCCGAAUCCCCCACCUCGCAUUCGGCUCGCCGUAGCUCCUCCUCCGCGUCCCGCCGCCCCCGGCACGGCCACUAGCUGGGUAUCAAAACAUUGGGUUGCCAAACAAGCUACCUUCUCAGAUUCAGAUCAAUAGCUUCUCAGGUCCAACAAGUGAGCUUUUGCACCAGUAGCUUUUGCAACCGAUUGACGGAAGUUUGUUUUGUCACCCAAGACCUAUCACUUGUCACCUAUUCAAAGUGCAGAGGGAAGGGAACGGUGCUGAUAAUGCAAGUGCUGUCCAAAAAAAAUGGCGCUGUGGAGCAUCUGAAAUGCUGCUUCCCUUGGCUCAUAUGAAUGUCAGUUUAGGCCUUAGGAUAGAGCAAAGUAGCAUAAUCUCAAGCACAAGUUUACUAUGUCUGGGAUGGCAUUUGAUGAUUCACCUGCCCAAGUGAAUGUUGAAGGAGAUGUUUCAGAGAAAAAAGUAGAAGUUCAAGACCAGAAUGAAGUGGGUGGGAUGCCCUUACGACAAGAGGAGGAGGCAGCAAUUAAGAAAAAGUAUGAAGGAAUAUUGCCCAGAAAGACUCCUGCUUAUAUCUAAGAACUGCUACCAGCAACAUCAGUCGUCAGCACAAGUUCAGAUGUCAGUCGUCAUCAGCGCAACGUCCAAGGACUUGCUUGGAUUCACAUGUAUCUAUAUUAAUCCGCAAGCCCUAUUGUGCUACAGUAUAUUGGAAUUAAACUUAGGGGCCAACAAGAUUGGAUCCCUUCAUUUUGGGAAAUUGGAAUAUAUAUCUCUCUCACGUGACCAACAGUAGGAUACAAAUACGUUCUAUAUAAAACCAGGGGCGGACCCAGCCCAAAAUCUAAGUGGGGGCCUAAAUAGAGGCUUAGUAACUAAUAAACCUUUGUUUCUAUAGUAAAUAAGGUAAAAGGUCCAUUAAAACUUGAAAUUUGAGUGGGGGCCUGUGCCCCGCUCCGUAUAACGUAGGUCCGCCUAGGGGUGACAAUGGGCUCUAAUAUUUAUACUAUAAAAUAUAAGGAUCGGAUCGGAUUAAUAUCGGUCCCUAUUUCUAUUCAUUUUUGAACUAAAAUUUAUUCAGGGCCCUAAAUAAUUGUGAAAAACAUUUGGAUCGCGAUCCAUUACCACCCCUAGGUGCGCCCUUGCAUAAAAUUGUAUUAGCUGGACCGAUAUGUGCCUUGAAUCACGAUUAUAUUUUGAAUGGAAUUUAAUUCUGAGUAUCCAAACGGGUCGUUUGAGGGACUAAAGAUUAGUUCAUCCAUUUUAGUUCUAUUUAAUCACUAAGGCCUUGUUUGGGAGUAAGGGUAAUAGAGGGGAUUGGAGGGGUUAGAAUCCCCCACUAUUCAAUUUUAAAUAGUAGAGGAUUAUAGCCCCCUCAA